rnacentral:rRNA from 1 species
GAUGAACGCUGGCGGUAUGCUUAACACAUGCAAGUCGAACGGUCACUUCGGUGAUAGUGGCGGACGGGUGAGUAACGCGUGAGAAUCUGUCUUCAGGUCGGGGACAACAGUUAGAAAUGACUGCUAAUACCGGAUGUGCCUUUGGGUGAAAGAUUUAUUGCCUGAAAAAGAGCUCGCGUCAGAUUAGCUAGUAGGUGGUGUAAGAGACUACCUAGGCUCCGAUCUGUAGCUGGUCUGAGAGGACGAUCAGCCACACUGGAACUGAGACACGGUCCAGACUACUACGGGAGGCAGCAGUGGGGAAUUUUCCGCAAUGGGCGAAAGCCUGACGGAGCAAUACCGCGUGAGGGACGAAGGCUUUUGGGUCGUAAACCUCUUUUCUCAAGGAAGAUGAUGACGGUACUUGAGGAAUAAGCAUCGGCUAACUCUGUG